CGCCUGGGAACCGAAAGAUGGAUGAUUUUGUUGAUGAUAAUUCAAGAAUCUCAUUCGGCCAGUUGAUACUUAUAUUAGAUGAACUCCAUAAGAUCAAGUAAAGAAUACCUUAAGGGAAGAUUUCUCGAAGAGAACUCCAAUGAGAGUCUUCUUUCUGUAACAAAUCCUGCAUAUUGGUGUUAGGUCCUACUCUCAUCUUGUGUCCAAAUCUGUGUUUGAAGCUAUGACUUAUGAGCUUUUGGAAUGUUGGUAAUAAUGUUUUCAUUGCCAUAAAGCAAACAAGGUGUGGCCUUUAUGUGUUAUGUGGAAUAUCCUACAUUUGUAAUCAAAGAACAUGUUUUUUUU